CAACACAAUCCCUACCGGGCGACCAGAAGACCAAGUUGCACUUCAAGGGUAGUGUUGCCGAGAAGCCAGACGAGAGGCGCUACAGACUGAGGCCGAGCUGGUGUUGCCCAGUGGUCGCAAAUACAGUGGCAAGUACUUCGGCAAGUACUCGCAUCAGCCGACGACUACAACGCAGAGGUCGACACUGAGUUCAGUCACCAGCCGCCUCAGGGCACUGCUUGCAAGAUCGCUUUCAAGGCUAACGCUAAGAACAUCAACGCAGCCAAGAGAACAAUUGACGGACAGGCUACUUUCAGUAUGGUUGACCCCGAAGGCAAGGACCUGAAGGCACACACCGUUCUCAAGAAGGCACUCAACGGAGACAAUGGAUCAUUUUGGCUCAGGGUUCAGUUUCGGGCAGCAAGAUCAAGUACCCAGUCAGCGCCAAAUUCGACUCUGAAGUAUCGGACCAGUUCCUGCGUUCGGCCUACGUGUCAUCCGACCACUCGUUCUCGCCCGCUUCCUAUCAGAUGUCGGCCUCAGUUGGCAACGAGAUCUCGGUGGCCAGCAACGGAAAGGUCAACGGUCAUCAGAUGAACCACGACCUUGAGGUCAAACUGCCAGCUGAGUACAACAUCAAGUCGUUCAAGUGGGCAUCUACCACUACUUCGACCCCGCUGAGAAGAUCAAACUGACCAACGCACUGAACUGGAACGAGAACAAGUUCUUCAAGAUCGCCGCCGAAGGUAACCGCGAGGCGAACGGUCUGGCUGGCAAGCUGGAAUGGGAGAGCGAUGCCAAGUCGCAGCGGACUCUGACCGCCAACGUUCAUUACCAGCCGACCGCUUCGGGUGACCGCGCGUUCGACGCCGCUGUCAAGCUGGCCUACGAGGGCAAGGUGGCCGACGUCAACGUGAAGGCCGAAUACGCCAAGGCUAGCGAAACUGCACAGGUUCACCUCAACGGUAACUUGCCGCAGCAGGGCAAAUUCGACAUCUCUGUCAAGAAUAAGGCAACACCAGGAGGCAAGGGCUUCCAGACCGACAUCAGUUUGAAUGUGAACGAGAAGAAGAUCACGGUGACAAAUCACGUGGAGCUGGACCCUGAGAACCCUCUCGUUGACCUGGUGGCCGAACACCCCCAGGGCAAGUCCAAGGUUUAUGUCAAGUUGGAGAAGAAGGGACAGCGUCACUGGGCCGGAGAGAGCAAGGUAUUAGUCGUUUAUUCA